CCUACGGGAGGCUGCAGUGGGGAAUAUUGGACAAUGGGGGGAACCCUGAUGCAGCCAUGCCGCGUGUGUGAAGGAGGCCCUCGGGUUGUAAAGCACUUUCAGUGAGGAAGAACGCCGGGUGGGUAAUACCCAUCAGUAAAGACAUCACUCACAGAAGAAGCACCGGCUAACUCCGUGCCAGCAGCCGCGGUAAUACGGAGGGUGCGAGCGUUAAUCGGAAUUACUGGGCGUAAAGCGCGCGUAGGUGGCUUGAUAAGCCGGUUGUGAAAGCCCCGGGCUCAACCUGGGAACGGCAUCCGGAACUGUCAAGCUAGAGUGCAGGAGAGGAAGGUAGAAUUCCCGGUGUAGCGGUGAAAUGCGUAGAGAUCGGGAGGAAUACCAGUGGCGAAGGCGGCCUUCUGGACUGACACUGACACUGAGGUGCGAAAGCGUGGGUAGCAAACAGGAUUAGAUACCCCAGUAGUC
rnacentral:rRNA from 1 species